CAAAUUAAAGCUUUAUAAGUUAAGCAUUUCAUUUACACUGAAAAGUGUGUCGUGCAAUUCGAUUUAAUUUGA
rnacentral:tRNA from 2 species